CCUACGGGAGGCAGCAGUAGGGAAUAUUGCUCAAUGGGGGAAACCCUGAAGCAGCAACGCCGCGUGGAGGAUGAAGGUUUUAGGAUUGUAAACUCCUUUUGUUAGAGAAGAUUAUGACGGUAUCUAACGAAUAAGCACCGGCUAACUCCGUGCCAGCAGCCGCGGUAAUACGGAGGGUGCAAGCGUUACUCGGAAUCACUGGGCGUAAAGCGUGCGUAGGCGGGGUAAUAAGUCAGCUGUGAAAUCCUGUAGCUUAACUACAGAACUGCAUUUGAAACUGUUAGUUUGGAGUGUGGGAGAGGUAGGUGGAAUUCGUGGUGUAGGGGUAAAAUCCGUAGAGAUCAAGAGGAAUACUCAUUGCGAAGGCGACCUGCUGGAACAUUACUGACGCUGAUGCUCGAAAGUGUGGGUAUCAAACAGGAUUAGAUACCCGGGUAGUC
rnacentral:rRNA from 1 species